rnacentral:tRNA from 1 species
UCCCAGGUGGCUUAGACGAUAAAGAAUCUGCCUGCAAUGCAGGAGACCCGGAUUCGAUCCCCGGGUUGGGAA